UAGGGAAUCUUCGGCAAUGGGGGGAACCCUGACCGAGCAACGCCGCGUGAGUGAAGAAGGUUUUCGGAUCGUAAAGCUCUGUUGUUAAGGAAGAACGAGUGUGAGAAUGGAAAGUUCAUACUGUGACGGUACUUAACCAGAAAGGGACGGCUAACUACGUGCCAGCAGCCGCGGUAAUACGUAGGUCCCGAGCGUUGUCCGGAUUUAUUGGGCGUAAAGCGAGCGCAGGCGGUUGGAUAAGUCUGAAGUUAAAGGCAGUGGCUCAACCAUUGUAGGCUUUGGAAACUGUUUAACUUGAGUGCAGAAGGGGAGAGUGGAAUUCCAUGUGUAGCGGUGAAAUGCGUAGAUAUAUGGAGGAACACCGGUGGCGAAAGCGGCUCUCUGGUCUGUAACUGACGCUGAGGCUCGAAAGCGUGGGGAGCGAACAGG
rnacentral:rRNA from 1 species